GGUGGGGGUCAGAUGAGUAUAGAAAAGCACUACAGGUGAUCAGACUGUCAGCAUUACUGUCAGACAAACAGAACCAGGUGGAGCACAAAGAGGAGGCUGAAAUAGUUUUAUAAAGUGAUCUACAAUGGCCAAAAAUAAUCAAGAACGUAUUUUGAAAACUCUGGAGCAGCUAGGGGAAAAGGGGCUGAAGAAGUUUAAGUGGUUCUUGCAGCAGGAAACUCUGGAUGGGUUUGAUCCCAUCUCAAAGAACAAUUUGGAGAAAGCUGACGAAUCAGACACAGUGGAUCAGAUGGUGGAGACAUACACACUUGAAGGAGCUCUGAAUAUCACUGUGGAGAUCCUGACAAAGAUGAAGCGGAAUGAUCUUGUGAAGAAACUCUGGUCGUGAGGAGUCUGAUGAAGACAGCUCAUCUUCAGAAUCAACUGGAGAGCUAAAUGAUGGAUAGAAUAAAGUAUAAUACAUUUGGCAGUAAUUACAAUCAUAAAGACACCAUACUAAAUCCAAAUGACUAAAAGCAACUUUUUCACAACUACUUUUGAAUCUUAAAUAAAGAGGCAACAAUAUUAGGCUGCUAAUUUAUUUCCCAAAUAGGAAUACCUAUUUUUUAUUUAAUUAUAUGAAUGAAUUAAAACAGCUUAAAAAGUUUAGUUCACAUGUGUUUUCGCGCUAACACGAAUAAGUCUCACUUGGGUAAACGUCAACUUAUAUUUAAGCCUCAAGCCGUUCCACUAAAGUUCCGUUCCACUAACAGGCAACGCUAAUUCAAGC